CUAACCCUACCUUUGUCUGCCUACCCAUCUCUUUCUUCUCUUUCUACUUUCUAGCCGCACACACCUUCUCUUCCUCUUCUAGUCUAUGAGAUUUAAUUGAAGAUGCAGCCCCAUAUCACGUCCAAUGCAUUAUACAUAUAUCCCAUUGCUUAUUCUUCUUCUAACUAAGAUCUUAGUCUCUGGUUCGUGUUUAUGCAAGAUCUCAGAGUCUUUGAAGAACCCAAGCAAAAACGGAGAAACCACAGGCGUCGUUUUGAUGUUGAUCAGUUAAUCGAUUUGUUUUUUUUUUUCUUUGUAAAAAUCAGAUUUGUUAUCUAUUUUGUUCAGUUGAUCUGUUGAUAACUAUAUAAGCAUGGAACUCUUUGUCUGGUUUAUUCGUUAUGUUGUUCAGUUAUUACUGCGAAAGACAUCCAGUUGUGGAA